UUAGUGGUUUAUAGUUUAUAAAUGUUGGUUUAGCAUAAUAGAUCCCAUGGAAGCAUUUUAGUACAUUUUACUAAUGAGAUUGUUUUUUCAUAUAGAUGCAAACACCAUACAUCAUGCCACAGGGGAUUAUAAAUAAAUUUUCUCCAUUCACUAAUCAGAUGUUGGAAUACCAUAAUAGAUCUCCUGGAAUCAAUUUGAGUCAGGUGUCAUCAAAUUCAUUUCAUCAUCCUGAGAUUAAUGAAUUGAACAAUUCUUAAGGCAUAAACAAAGCAUAGUUGCACCAUAAUGCAUUGGGAGGUGAAGGAUAAGUAAACAAGGUUUUCAGAAAUACAUCCUUGACAAUUGACUCAAGUUGCUCAAUACAUGAAGACUGAGUGAAGAGUGCUCGCAAUUUCCAGUGUUAUCAUAUUCGUUGUCUUGCUAAGGCAAUCUGCAUCAGAAGAUAAAGGGUUGUUCCAUAUUCUUAUCUAGACGUUCCAGUUAGUGUUCUUUCCUGAUUUUCUUCUAAUUGCACUUCUCCAGUCAGUGAUUUAUUUCAUCAGAUGCUGUAGGGUGACGUGGGAAUCAAUCCAUUUUUUGUUUCUGGAAUUAAUAUGUGUCGCAUCCUGAUUGGGCGGGUGUGAUUAUUGAUUGGGCGGGUGUAAUUAAAUGAAGAUAAUGUAAUACUUAACUUUACAGGAGGCUGGACCAUAUAAUGGCAAAACUGUAACAUUACUAGAACUCCUUUCGACCAUGGUUUGUCACGUGAUGAUGCUUCUUUCAUUGCUAGAAGAGUCUAUGGGAAUCCUUUGGUCACGUAAUCCUUUUCCGCCAUUUUGAUUGCUCCUCUGUGUAGGAAUAUUUUGUCAAACAAUCUUAAGGGUUCCAUUCCAAUUGAGCUUUCCCGAAUUUGGGUAUUUAGAUACCCUGUAAGUUUAGAGUUCUUUAGUUUUAUUUAUUACCCAUGGUCAACAUGCUUGGAUUGUUGCUUAUUUGUACUUCUACGCAGGAAUUUUUCCAAUAAUAAGCUCAGUGGUUCUAUCCCAUUUUCUCUUGGUGACUUGGAACAUCUGCUAAAGCUGUGAGCGUCAUAAACUAGAAAACAACGAUCACAUGGAGAUGGGAGGUAUCAUCUGAUCUUGUGCUGACUUCAGUGUUUUUCUCUUUGGAGGAAUCUUAGCAGAAAUCACUUGACAGGAUUUAUUCCUGCUGAGUUUGGCAAUCUGAGAAGCAUCAUGGAUAUGUAGAUCUUUCAAAUAAUCAUCUAUCAGGCUUGAUCCCUGAAGAACUUAGUCAACUUCAAAGCAUAUUCUCAUUAUACGCAUUCACUCCCUUUGAUAGGCCUUUGAUGGUUUUCAUAAUAUUCCUAAACUGGGAUAUAUUUGGUGCUUGAGAUUGUUAUUCACAAAUUCUUCGUUGUUUGAGCUUAUUCAUUUGUCCCAUACUUCUACAUACAUAAUGGGGACCAUUGGCUACAUAGACCCAGAAUAUGCCCGCACUUCUCGCCUCACAGAGAAGUCGGAUGUCUACAGCUAUGGAAUUGUUUUACUGGAGUUGCUGACUGGCAGGAAAGCAAUGGACAAUGAAUCCAAUCUCCCAUCACCUGAUCUUAUCCAAAACUGCAAGCGAUUCGGUAAUGGAAACGGUUGAUCCCGAUGUCACUGCCCCAUGUAAAGAUCUCAGAGCAUUGAAGAAGGUUUUCCAACUUGCUCUCUUGUGCACUAAGAGGCAACCAUCGGAACGUCCUACCAUGCAUGAAGUGGCUAGAGUCCUCGGAAGCCUAUUGCUGUCCACAACCCCACUGAAGCAGUUAUCUGCGGUAGGGUCCGCUUUGCUUCCAAGCACAAAGAUCGCUAGUUACAUGGACGAGUAUGCAAAUUUGAAGACUCUGCACUUGGUAAAUUGCUCAGCCAUGAGCACCUCGGAUGCCCAACUCUUCCGUGAAUUUGGUGAGGUGAUCUCUCAUAACAGCAACCAGGACCUUGAAAAGUCGGCCUAAGUAAGGAUGGGUAGGCUUUUAGGUGGGAUGGAGGCAAAGAGGGAAAAUGUAUAUAUGUGGAACUCGACUCUCUCUUGUUAGCAAGCUAGUUUUUGUACUUAUCUAGUUAGUAUCAGCUUUCUAGUUGAAGUGAAAAGGUCGAACAAACUCACUGAUACUGAUAGGUCAAAUGGGGUUGUGCCCCGAUUCUUACCAUAAGCGUUGCGCUGUGUUGAAGUACAUGAUACUAAUUUUUUCACAUAGAUGUAAUCAGUUGUCGAGUACUCUUAGCUCUGAUGGUACAAAGUACCAAUGAAUGGAUGCAGUGCAAAAUAGA